rnacentral:rRNA from 1 species
GAUGAACGCUGGCGGCGUGCCUAAUACAUGCAAGUCGAGCGAACGGACGAGAAGCUUGCUUCUCUGAUGUUAGCGGCGGACGGGUGAGUAACACGUGGAUAACCUACCUAUAAGACUGGGAUAACUUCGGGAAACCGGAGCUAAUACCGGAUAAUAUUUUGAACCGCAUGGUUCAAAAGUGAAAGACGGUCUUGCUGUCACUUAUAGAUGGAUCCGCGCUGCAUUAGCUAGUUGGUAAGGUACCGGCUUACCAAGGCAACGAUGCAUAGCCGACCUGAGAGGGUGAUCGGCCACACUGGAACUGAGACACGGUCCAGACUCCUACGGGAGGCAGCAGUAGGGAAUCUUCCGCAAAGGGCGAAAGCCUGACGGAGCAACGCCGCGUGAGUGAUGAAGGUCUUCGGAUCGUAAAACUCUGUUAUUAGGGAAGAACAUAUGUGUAAGUAACUGUGCACAUCUUGACGGUACCUAAUCAGAAAGCCACGGCUAACUACGUG